rnacentral:lncRNA from 1 species
GGUUUCGCGAUAAGAAACUCAUCUAUCGUUUCUUAUUUUCGUUUAUACCGCAUUAUUAGAUUCACGCGAGAUGCAUCACCAUGGUGCCACUGAGCUUCAUCGUAUUGGAAUACAUUAUAAGACGAUGGAUUUUUAUCCUUUUCAAUGAUAUGGAAUGGAUUCUUCGAUGGAUUUUCGAUGGAGUUUUGGUGAAUCUUUGAUGGAUUUUUGGUGGAUCUUUUUCAAUACCAAAUGGAGGAACUCUUCGAUCGUUAGACUACAAUACUUGCUGCGAAGUAGGAGUGUUUUGGAACCAUCGUAGAACUUCCAAUGCUAACUGUUAAUAUUUCAUAUAUGCGUCAAUUUAAUUUUUAAAUGCCACAUACGUGUGAUAUAACAGUUGAUAACGAGUGAGUAUAAAAAUUGAAAGUCCCUCCGUCGCUCAAUUAUGUGCCGAGGAUGAACGAUCCUAAUCGGCACGAAUUACUAGUUAUAAUUAUUUCAAUAAAUUAUUGACGAACACACGAGUAAUUCUUUUUUCAGUAUUACUCGUGCAAAAUUGUAUAUUCUAUUAUAUAUUUUAUUAGUUAUUUUUAUUGUCUAGAUUGUUUAUUAUCACGCCUUGACAUGAUGUCGAGACACUAUGAUUUUUCGCGUAAUGACUAUAUAUUAUAUGAUUAUUUUUAAUAAGUACAAUUACAAAACUUAGGUGUUACUUGAAGGGGGUAUGUUUAGAAAAAAUAUGCUAUGGCAAUUAAUUUGUAAAAUAAUUAUUAUUAAGAAUAUUUAAUGUACUUUCUCGAUAUUUCAUGAAAGUAAUUUCAGAGGUAUAGUUCGAUCAAAUAAAACGCGUGAUAAAUUUAA